UGGGGAAUAUUGGACAAUGGGCGCAAGCCUGAUCCAGCCAUGCCGCGUGGGUGAAGAAGGCCUUAGGGUUGUAAAGCCCUUUCAGCGGGGACGAUAAUGACGGUACCCGCAGAAGAAGCUCCGGCUAACUUCGUGCCAGCAGCCGCGGUAAUACGAAGGGAGCUAGCGUUGUUCGGAAUUACUGGGCGUAAAGGGCGCGUAGGCGGGUUUCCAAGUCGGGGGUGAAAUUCCAGGGCUCAACCCUGGGACGGCCUUCGAUACUGGGAGCCUGGAGAUCGGGAGAGGUGAGUGGAAUUCCGAGUGUAGAGGUGAAAUUCGUAGAUAUUCGGAGGAACACCAGAAGCGAAGGCGGCUCACUGGCCCGAGACUGACGCUGAGGCGCGAAAGCGUGGGGAGCAAACAG
rnacentral:rRNA from 1 species